rnacentral:rRNA from 1 species
GACGAACGCUGGCGGCGUGCUUAACACAUGCAAGUCGAACGGAAAGGCCUCUUUCGGGGGGUACUCGAGCGGCGAACGGGUGAGUAACACGUGAGUAACCUGCCCUUGACUUUGGGAUAACUUCAGGAAACUGGGGCUAAUACCGGAUAGGAGCUCCUGCUGCAUGGUGGGGGUUGGAAAGUUUCGGCGGUUGGGGAUGGACUCGCGGCUUAUCAGCUUGUUGGUGGGGUAGUGGCUUACCAAGGCUUUGACGGGUAGCCGGCCUGAGAGGGUGACCGGCCACAUUGGGACUGAGAUACGGCCCAGACUCCUACGGGAGGCAGCAGUGGGGAAUAUUGCACAAUGGGUGGAAGCCUGAUGCAGCAACGCCGUGUGCGGGAUGACGGCCUUCGGGUUGUAAACCGCUUUCGCUCAUGACGAAGCUAUGUGUGACGGUAGUGGGUAAAGAAGCACCGGCUAACUACGUG